AGUCUGGUGCCAGCAGCCGCGGUAAUUCCAGCUCCAAUAGCGUAUAUUAAAGUUGUUGCAGUUAAAAAGCUCGUAGUUGAAUUUCGGGGUUAGUAGGUUGGUCAUGCCUCUGGUAUGUACUGGUCUCACUGAUUCCUCCUUCCUGAUGAACCGUAAUGCCAUUAAUUUGGUGUUGCGGGGAAUUUGGACUGUUACUUUGAAAAAAUUAGAGUGUUUAAAGCAAGCUAACGCUUGAAUACAUUAGCAUGGAAUAAUGAAAUAGGACGUUCGAUCCUAUUUUGUUGGUUUCUAGGAUUGACGUAAUGAUUAAUAGGGAUAGUUGGGGGCAUUAGUAUUCAAUUGUCAGAGGUGAAAUUCUUGGAUUUAUUGAAGACUAACUACUGCGAAAGCAUUUGCCAAGGAUGUUUUCAUUAAUCAAGAACGAAAGUUAGGGGAUCGAAGACGAUCAGAUACCGUCGUAGUC
rnacentral:rRNA from 1 species